CAUUGGGAAGUUUUGGAUGGGCUGAUAUACUAAUCUUGCAGAGGACAAGAAGGUGGAUGAUGGUGUAAAUUUGAGGUGCUGCUGGCUGGUUCUUAGCUUGUGUGACUGAAGAAGGUAAGGACAGAUGUCAUAGUCUCGUCAAUAUAAGUUAAGUCUGUCUUGUUCCUUUCUGAAUUGUGAACGUUUUGAUAGGAAAACGUCAUUGGAGUAGUAGCUAUUAGAAAUCAUCCAUCCUGGUAUUGAUAUUGCUGGUAUAGGAGGAAAACGGCAAAUUCAGCUUUGUAUUUCUGUUCACAUCUCAGUUACUCCAUUGCUAUGCUUGUCAAAUUUCCGGCCUCGUGGAUCAAGAGAAUGUAUCCUGGGGCUGGUUUAUGAUGUUUGCCUAUAGAGAGGGAGGGUGUAUUUUUUGGAUGAGAAAAGUGAUGUACAUUGCCUUCCUUUUGGAAGCAUACUAGCUGUGUGCUCCUCUGAUAUUCUUUGUUUUGCUUGCAGCUGCAACACUUGCAAGUGUGGAGGGAGCAUGCAGCUGCCAAGACUCACAUGGUUUUUGUGACGGUCCGUCCUUGCUUGCGCAAAGCAUGUUGUUCUUCUGCUGGUAGCAGCAGCCAGCAUUAUUAACUUUGGUUUUGUUCAUGAGCACAGUCAUCUCAUUUAGUUCAGCUGCUGAAAAGAAGAGCAGAGAAGGACGGCGUCUGCAAGUAUCAGGAUGGAUGGAUGGAUGAAUUCCUUGGCGGCAGUUAAUGAUAGUAGGUUCUUAUUUCUUUUCUAGAGGAGGAGAUAGAUCCUCGGUGUGUCCUUUUGUUUCUUGUUAUGGAAUAAACAACCAAACAAACAUACUAUUGUGUACGUACAUAACAAAAUUUGCGAAUUCUCAAGAGGCUGAUUUUUUGUUGAUCUGGAAGGUGCAUGGGUGAAUGAACCAUGACCUGUUGGUCUCCUUGUGAAAUAUAAAUAGAUUUGCUU